CAACUUGAUAUCAGCCAACGCGUCGUACCGUUAGGACGAAUGUGACCACCACUUCGUCGUACCGUUACGUCGCGUCUUUCAAUGUGCUACCCUCAGUGGCACAAUUUUAGUCAUAGGACCCUAUGCUGUUACCAGAGUCAUAGAACCCUGGUAGGUUCUAUGACUCUGCCGUUACAUGGCACACGGGGCACAGCCUUAAUUUGUUUUCUUUCCCAUGGUUUCGACGACAGCUUCUCAGCUGUUUUGUUUACUUUUUUAAAACUUAUUUUGUGUUUUUAGUUUAUUGUUUAUUUGCUACAAUGUAAGUUUUAUUGAAGCUAGAUUAAAAUGUGUGUUUAUUUUAUGACAAAAUGUAUGUAUUUCACUCCUGGUAGGAAAUAAUAAAUGUUAAAUGAGAAAAACUUUUGUAUUUCACUUCCACGAGGAAUCCUCUAUUUGGUAAUGUAACAUUUUUGUAAAUAACUAAUCAAUUCAAUUAAUUCUUUGACAGGAACUCACGUUUAUUUAGUUAUAAUUAGAGGCAUUAAUUUCUAAUAGUGUUAUUUAAGGUUCAGCUAUAUACAUAUGUUAAGCGUGUUGGCAUCGUUUCCAACACACGAAAAAAAUUCUCCACUAUGGUGAAAAAUAUCAACUUUGGUACCACUAGAAAAUAAAUCAAUACAUUAAACAAUCAGAUGUUGGGAUUUUAAAUCACAUGAGUUCGAAGGACUACAGAACUCCCUAAAAGAAAACUUUCCAAGUUCAAAUUAUAAAACAAUUAACAUUUUCUUUUAAACUAAUGAAUUAUUUAAUGCCUCUAGGUAGUUUAGGAAUAAAUUUAUUUCAAAUGUGUGUUUUUGUUUGGAACUGUUGUAUGUUGUAUGGUAGCCGGAGAAAUAGGACCCCGACAAAUAGGACCCGGAGAAAUAGGACCCAAAAAAAGGCCAUGGAGAAAUAGGACCCGGUGAAAUAGGAAAGAUAAAGGAUGAGUGAAAAAGGCUAUCUUUUCCAUGUAUUUGAUUGAAAAAUGUUGAAAAGAAAAAAAAUUGCUUCAACAUGAAA